GAAAUCCCUGGCUCGAAGAAGAGGCAGAGGAGAUGCAUGGAUUCGUUGUUUAUUUGAUGUGAUGUUAAGAAAUUUCUCUAUUUUGCAGGUCGAAGUAUUGGUUAUGUGAUUAUACCCUGAGGAACUCCCACCUACAAAAGAGGACUUGAACGUGCUAGAAUGAAGAAAAAAGAAGAAGAGCUGCUAUGUAUCAGUUUAUUUUAUGUGCUGUUAAGAAAACUCUCUACUUUCAAGGUCGAAGUUAUGACAAUUGAUGAUGGCUAAAGAUACUAGGGUGGAAACUCUGUGCUAUUGCGUGUCCUUGUGCCAGGAAAUCACAUUUCCCUAUCUAUUGCCAGAUCUAAAGAUGCAAGAAUUUAUUUGAAAAAAAAAGGUAGCAGGUUAAAGUGAGAUUCUCAUCACAAAUUAUGAUCUCUCCUUUAUCAGAAAUUGUAUGAUAGCAUGGCAAUCCAAUUAAUGUAUCAUCUGAAAUCCGGAUUAGAAGUUUGGUCUGCACUUGAAUUUCUUUAUUUUUUUUUUGUCAAAUUUUUUACUGUCUGUUCAUAAAUUUCAAUAUUCAUAUUUCUUUAUUCAUUACCUACUAUUAUAUGAAUAACAAUUAAAUUUUUAGCAUAACUAAAUGAGUGGUGCACAGAAGCCCAACACAAGUCAUUACAAAGUCAAGCACUCAAUUGAGUUAGAGAAAUACCAUAGCAUAUUAAAACCCUAAACAAUCUCUGAUUUAUAAAAUAAGAAAAAAAAAAACAUAAUCAAUCUUGCUCACAAAACUGCAAGCUGCUGAGAGAUCUUGUGAGACAACCUCUUUGCUGUAUCUCAAGAACCUUACAAGUAAGUUUUUUGCUUUUGAAUUUCUAUUUUGAGUCAUAAAGCUCAAUUGCUAAGUGAAUUUGUUUUUUAUUCAUGGGUUCAUGUCUGUAGUCCUUUUCUGGUUAGGAAUUGUUGAGAUUUCUUGUCUAGAUACAUGUGACAAUGGUAGAUCUUAGUCCGUGUCCCAUAAAUGAAGCUAUGGUUUAAGAAAUUGGGGGUUUUGUGGUUUAGAGCUCAAAAGAAUCUAGAGUUAAGUUCAGUAGCUGAAUUAUCCAGAGAUAGGAGAGCAGAGAAGGAUUAAUACCAUCAAGUAUUUGAUGGAAUGUGUAAGGUAGGUGAAGUGUUUGAAGAAAAGACUGAGAGAAGGAAAGAUGAGAUAU